UACGUAGGGUGCGAGCGUUGUCCGGAAUUAUUGGGCGUAAAGGGCUCGUAGGCGGUUUGUCGCGUCGGGAGUGAAAACCAGGUGCUUAACACCUGGCUUGCUUUCGAUACGGGCAGACUAGAGGUAUGCAGGGGAGAACGGAAUUCCUGGUGUAGCGGUGAAAUGCGCAGAUAUCAGGAGGAACACCCGUGGCUAAGGCGGUUCUCUAGUACGGUACUGACGCUGAGACGCGAAAGCGUGGGGAGCGAACAGG
rnacentral:rRNA from 1 species